rnacentral:rRNA from 1 species
CCUACAGGAGGCAGCAGUGGGGGAUAUUGCACAAUGGGGGGAACCCUGAUGCAGCGACGCCGCGUGGGUGAAGAAGCGCCUCGGCGCGUAAAGCCCUGUCAGCAGGGAAGAAAAUGACGGUACCUGAAGCAGAAGCCCCGGCUAACUACGUGCCAGCAGCCGCGGUAAUACGUAGGGGGCAAGCGUUAUCCGGAUGUACUGGGUGUAAAGGGGGCGCAGACGGCGAUGCAAGCCAGGAGUGAAAGCCCGGGGCCCAACCCCGGGACUGCUCUUGGAACUGCGUGGCUGGAGUGCAGGAGGGGCAGGCGGAAUUCCUGGUGUAGCGGUGAAAUGCGUAGAUAUCAGGAGGAACACCGGUGGCGAAGGCGGCCUGCUGGACUGCAACUGACGUUGAGGCCCGAAAGCGUGGGGAGCAAACAGGAUUAGAUACCCCGGUAGUC